rnacentral:rRNA from 1 species
GGGGAAUAUUGGACAAUGGAGGGAACUCUGAUCCAGCAAUUCUGUGUGCACGAAGAAGGUUUUCGGAUUGUAAAGUGCUUUCAGUAGGGAAGAAGAAAGUGACGGUACCUACAGAAGAAGCGACGGCUAAAUACGUGCCAGCAGCCGCGGUAAUACGUAUGUCGCAAGCGUUAUCCGGAAUUAUUGGGCUUAAAGGGCAUCUAGGUGGUUUUUCAAGUCAGGGGUGAAAACUUAUGGCUCAACUAUAAGCUUGCCUUUGAAACUGAAAGACUAGAGUACUGGAAAGGUGGGUGGAACUACACGAGUAGAGGUGAAAUUCGUAGAUAUGUGUAGGAAUGCCGAUGAUGAAGAUAACUCACUGGACAGAAACUGACGCUGAAGUGCGAAAGCUAGGGGAGCAAACAGGAUUAGAUACCCUGGUAGUCCUAGCUGUAAACGAUGAUCACUGGGUGUGGGGAUGAAUAGUCUCUGUGCCGAAGCAAAAGCGAUAAGUGAUCCGCCUGGGGAGUACGUACGCAAGUAUG